rnacentral:rRNA from 1 species
AGCAGUCGCCACGGGAAUACGUAGGUGGCAAGCGUUGUCCGGAAUUAUUGGGCGUAAAGCGCGCGCAGGCGGAUCAGUCAGUCUGUCUUAAAAGUUCGGGGCUUAACCCCGUGACGGGAUGGAAACUGCUGAUCUAGAGUAUCGGAGAGGAAAGUGGAAUUCCUAGUGUAGCGGUGAAAUGCGUAGAUAUUAGGAAGAACACCAGUGGCGAAGGCGACUUUCUGGACGAAAACUGACGCUGAGGCGCGAAAGCCAGGGGAGCGAACGGGAUUAGAUACCCCGGUAGUCCCUGUCUCUUAUACA